CAAGCCUUCAUGAGGCAGCUUGAGCUGGCCUACUUCAGGGUGGAGGACCCGCAGGUCAGCUGGGCUCUUAUAGCUGGAUGGGAGGAGCUGCCUGCUCACUCUAGUCCCAUGCAAAAUGUUUAGUUUGUAUUAUUUUAAUAUGAAAUAUCAAGUUAUUAGUAGCAGAAAAUGGCAAGUGGUCUACACAAGACAGCAGCAUUUUCACACCAACGAUGUUUUAGAUUAGGAAGAGUGAAAAAUAUCAAUAUUUGGUGGAAUAACCUUGAUUUUUAGUCAUGCGUCUUGACAUCUUUUCCAUCAGUCCUUCACAUGUACGAAAGAGGAUUAGGGCCACUGAAAAAUAAAUAAUUCUGACUUUAA